CCACAGGCUUAGCAGAAGCUACACCUGGAUUCCUGCCCCUGAACGGAUGUAACCAGCAUUUGGGCUUUUCUAUUCAGUUACCUCCUUGUGGUCUGCAUGUAGGCUGUGAUUCUGUGGGGCUCUGCUGGAUCAGCUUGCUUGAUUCCAGGCCCAGGUCUGUUGUAUGUAUCUCCUCAUCCUGGGACCAUUGACUACGCAAGAUUUGAUCUUCUCACGGUCGAUGGCAGAAGUUCAAGAGAUCAAGCAGAGUCACAGAGGCACAUUUAAAGCCUCUGCUUCUAUUGCAUCUACUCACACUACUGGCCAUACAUAGCAAGUCACAUGACCAAGACUGACAACCACGGGUCAGAAAGAACACUCUACCCACAGUGAGAAAAUGUCAAAGCCUCAGGCCACGGGCCCACUUCUCUGCCAGAAGGAGACGACCAUUCAGGCUGACCCGGCACAAAUUCUGGGACCAGAAAGGAAAAAGGGUCUUCAGAAUAGAAGUUUUGCUGCAGCAGCUUAAACUAUCCCAGGCCUUUUUGGUCUGAUCUUGUGCUAGUUUGGCAUCAUUAACCGCCAGUCUGGAGUUUGGAUGGGAACAACCACAAGUGGCCCCUCAGUGUCUCUUGGGAUUUCCAAGAGAAUGGAAAUGUCACAUGGUUGAUGCCUUUCCAGCUCCGUGUGGAUAAGUACAAAGAGCUGCUUCCAACCAUCUCUUCAUUUCCUCCAGUCCUUCAGUCCCCAUCAGUGUCUCUGUGCCCCGGGAGACUGAAAACUCCGAGAGGUCAAAGAUCACUCUUGUUUUGUGCACGCCUUGUCUCCAGUACCUGGCACAAUGCUCUCUACACAAAACCUAAAGCUGCAUCAGAGUGCUUUUUAAGAUGAUACUUCAGACACCCACCAACAAUCAAUAAGAGACAGCAUGAGAGGCAAGACCUAUUUAUUAUUCCUUUUGUGCCCUUUUUUUGUGCCUUCCAUAAGCAAUACUGUAUACCAAGAAAGAAGAACCUUCUCAGAGACAGAGAGACAACAAACUUUUGAACUUCUUCAAAAUCUGCCACAGAAGACAAAGUCAUCCCCAUGGGAUUAUCACAGGGCCACGAGCCACCGGCCAUACUAAGACAUGGAUUCUUAGAAUCCUUCCAAAAACAGCAAAAGGAAAAUCACAAAACCCCAGGUCUGGCCUGCCUUGUGGCACCGUGUUGGCAGUUAGCAUGAUAUUAAAAGUGUCCUGAUGCUCUUCUGGGUACAAAAGCUCAGCUUUGCUUCAUGGUACCAAGUAGUUCUGAGGCUCAGAUAUGUAUUUUUCUGUCUUUAAGUUGAAGCAGUAAGAAAAAGAAAGCAAGCUGGUAGCAGAGAUUAGGGCGGAAGCUAGGGUAUGUGGAGCGAGUCCAGGGAGGGGCUGAGGACGGCAG